rnacentral:rRNA from 1 species
GUCUAUGGCCAUACCACCCGGAAUGCACCUGAUCUGGUCCCAUCUCAGAAGCUAAGCAGGGUCAGGCCAGGUAGUACUUGGAUGGGAGAAAUGCCAGAAAGACUUGAGGGCUUGGUCA